UAAUACGAAGGGGGCUAGCGUUGCUCGGAAUGACUGGGCGUAAAGGGCGCGUAGGCGGUUUGGACAGUUAGGCGUGAAAUUCCUGGGCUCAACCUGGGGACUGCGCUUAAUACAUCCAGACUUGAGUGUGGAAGAGGGUUGUGGAAUUCCCAGUGUAGAGGUGAAAUUCGUAGAUAUUGGGAAGAA
rnacentral:rRNA from 1 species